ACACCGGCAGCCCAAGUGGUGGCCAUUUUUAUUGGGCCUAAAGCGUUCGUAGCCGGCCUGAUAAGUCUCUGGUGAAAUCCCGCAGCUUAACUGUGGGAAUUGCUGGAGAUACUAUCAGGCUUGAGGUCGGGAGAGGUUAGAGGUACUCCCAGGGUAGGGGUGAAAUCCUAUAAUCCUGGGAGGACCACCUGUGGCGAAGGCGUCCAACUGGAACGGACCUGACGGUGAGUAACGAAAGCCAGGGGCGCGAACCGGAUUAGAUACCCGGGUAGUCCUGGCCGUAAACGAUGUGGACUUGGUGUUGGGAUGGCUCCGAGCUGCCCCAGUGCCGAAGGGAAGCUGUUAAGUCCACCGCCUGGGAAGUACGGUCGUAAGACUGAA
rnacentral:rRNA from 1 species